AGUGAACGCUGGCGGUAGGCCUAACACAUGCAAGUCGAACGGCAGCACAGUAAGAGCUUGCUCUUACGGGUGGCGAGUGGCGGACGGGUGAGGAAUACAUCGGAAUCUGCUUUUUCGUGGGGGAUAACGUAGGGAAACUUACGCUAAUACCGCAUACGACCUACGGGUGAAAGCAGGGGAUCUUCGGACCUUGCGCGAUUGAAUGAGCCGAUGUCGGAUUAGCUAGUUGGCGGGGUAAAGGCCCACCAAGGCGACGAUCCGUAGCUGGUCUGAGAGGAUGAUCAGCCACACUGGAACUGAGACACGGUCCAGACUCCUACGGGAGGCAGCAGUGGGGAAUAUUGGGCAAUGGGCGCAAGCCUGAUCCAGCCAUACCGCGUGGGUGAAGAAGGCCUUCGGGUUGUAAAGCCCUUUUGUUGGGAAAGAAAAGCAGCAGGUUAAUACCCCGCUGUUCUGACGGUACCCAAAGAAUAAGCACCGGCUAACUUCGUG
rnacentral:rRNA from 1 species